AGGACAUCAAAACCAGCAACAGUAACAAAGUCCUUGAAAAUUGCAUCAGCAGGUGUCUCUUCACAAAAUAAGUGCCAGUGGAGAAUAACAACAAAAGAUCAGAGGUUGCAUAAAUUGGUUUUUGAGGAAGGUGGAUUGCCUGAUGGGACUGAAGUAGCAUACUAUGCUCGUGGGCAGAAAUUGCUUCUGGGUUACAAAAAGGGCUUUGGAAUACUUUGUUGUUGCUGCAACUGUGAGGUCAGCCCCUCAACGUUUGAAGCUCAUGCAGGGUGGGCUACUCGCAAAAAGCCGUAUGCUUAUAUUUACACUUCUAAUGGUGUGUCACUUCAUGAACUGGCAAUAUCACUAUCAAAAGGUCGCAAGUAUUCUGCUAAGGACAAUGAUGACCUGUGCAUCGUCUGUGCAGAUGGUGGGAGUCUUGUUCUGUGUGAUGGAUGCCCAAGGGCCUUCCAUAAAGGAUGUGCAUCUCUAUCAAGUAUUCCCCGCGGUAAAUGGUUUUGCCAAUUUUGCGAGAA
rnacentral:misc_RNA from 1 species